rnacentral:rRNA from 1 species
CAGUCGCCGCGGUAAUACGAAGGGUGCAAGCGUUAAUCGGAAUUACUGGGCGUAAAGCGCGCGUAGGUGGUUCAUUAAGUUGGAUGUGAAAGCCCUGGGCUCAACCUGGGAACUGCAUCCAAAACUGGUGAGCUAGAGUACGGUAGAGGGUAGUGGAAUUUCCUGUGUAGCGGUGAAAUGCGUAGAUAUAGGAAGGAACACCAGUGGCGAAGGCGACUACCUGGACUGAUACUGACACUGAGGUGCGAAAGCGUGGGGAGCAAACGGGAUUAGAUACCCGAGUAGUCCCUGUCUCUUAUAC